UGGGUUUAUAGCUCAGUCGGUUAGAACAGUACUUUGACAUGGCGUAGGCAAUGUCGUUGGUUCGAAUUCGGUUGAACACAG
rnacentral:tRNA from 1 species